GACGAACGCUGGCGGCGUGCUUAACACAUGCAAGUCGAACGGAAAGGCCCUGCUUUUGUGGGGUGCUCGAGUGGCGAACGGGUGAGUAACACGUGAGUAACCUGCCCUUGACUUUGGGAUAACUUCAGGAAACUGGGGCUAAUACCGGAUAGGAGCUCCUGCUGCAUGGUGGGGGUUGGAAAGUUUCGGCGGUUGGGGAUGGACUCGCGGCUUAUCAGCUUGUUGGUGGGGUAGUGGCUUACCAAGGCUUUGACGGGUAGCCGGCCUGAGAGGGUGACCGGCCACAUUGGGACUGAGAUACGGCCCAGACUCCUACGGGAGGCAGCAGUGGGGAAUAUUGCACAAUGGGCGGAAGCCUGAUGCAGCAACGCCGCGUGCGGGAUGACGGCCUUCGGGUUGUAAACCGCUUUCGCCUGUGACGAAGCGUGAGUGACGGUAAUGGGUAAAGAAGCACCGGCUAACUACGUGCCAGCAGCCGCGGUGAUACGUAGGGUGCGAGCGUUGUCCGGAUUUAUUGGGCGUAAAGGGCUCGUAGGUGGUUGAUCGCGUCGGAAGUGUAAUCUUGGGGCUUAACCCUGAGCGUGCUUUCGAUACGGGUUGACUUGAGGAAGGUAGGGGAGAAUGGAAUUCCUGGUGGAGCGGUGGAAUGCGCAGAUAUCAGGAGGAACACCAGUGGCGAAGGCGGUUCUCUGGGCCUUUCCUGACGCUGAGGAGCGAAAGCGUGGGGAGCGAACAGGCUUAGAUACCCUGGUAGUCCACGCUGUAAACGGUGGGUACUAGGUGUGGGGUCCAUUCCACGGGUUCCGUGCCGUAGCUAACGCUUUAAGUACCCCGCCUGGGGAGUACGGCCGCAAGGCUAAAACUCAAAGGAAUUGACGGGGCCCCGCACAAGCGGCGGAGCAUGCGGAUUAAUUCGAUGCAACGCGUAGAACCUUACCUGGGUUUGACAUGGAUCGGGAGUGCUCAGAGAUGGGUGUGCCUCUUUUGGGGUCGGUUCACAGGUGGUGCAUGGCUGUCGUCAGCUCGUGUCGUGAGAUGUUGGGUUAAGUCCCGCAACGAGCGCAACCCUUGUUCACUGUUGCCAGCACGUUAUGGUGGGGACUCAGUGGAGACCGCCGGGGUCAACUCGGAGGAAGGUGGGGAUGACGUCAAGUCAUCAUGCCCCUUAUGUCCAGGGCUUCACGCAUGCUACAAUGGCUGGUACAGAGAGUGGCGAGCCUGUGAGGGUGAGCGAAUCUCGGAAAGCCGGUCUCAGUUCGGAUUGGGGUCUGCAACUCGACCUCAUGAAGUCGGAGUCGCUAGUAAUCGCAGAUCAGCAACGCUGGGGUGAAUACGUUCCCGGGGCUUGUACACACCGCCCGUCAAGUCAUGAAAGUUGGUAACACCCGAAGCCGGUGGCCUAACCGUUGUGGGGGAGCCGUCGAAGGUGGGACUGGUGAUUAGGACUAAGUCGUAACAAGGUAGCCGUACCGGAAGG
rnacentral:rRNA from 1 species